GGUGGUUCCUCCCUCCUUCCCGCCCGGAGGCGGGCAGUGCUGACGGCUCGUACUGACGCAGGCCCCUGCGUGUGGGCGGCUGCCUGAUCCAGGGUCAAGCACCUCGGCUUAUCCACCAUCUCUGCACUCCAGGGCAGCUCUGUCUCCAGUCCCACCACGCAAGACUUGCCUUCCUUGACAUCUGACAACAUUCAUGUCACCCCAUAAUUCAUAAGGAUCAUCCCAUUCAUCAUCCUAAAGCCUGGAGGUAGGGCACUCCAUAUCAUCACUGAGGCUCAGAGAGGGUGGACUGGGCCGGAAGAUUUCCAAGGCAGUUUCACCUCCAUCCCUUCUGCUUCAAGGGAAGAGAUAAUGAAGAGCUAGAGCUCCUUCUUGCAUGUCAUCAGGGCCACGGGAUGGGACAGGAAUACUCCUUUUCAUACUGAAAUUCUGGGGGCCCCACAGCUAGACAAGAAUGAAACUGUGCUGGGACUUCCCUGGUGGCCCAGUGGUUAAGAU
ensembl:lncRNA